rnacentral:tRNA from 1 species
GGUGUAGCUCAAUUGGCAGAGCACUCGCCUUGUAAGCGAAAUGUCUGCCCAUCGAGUUCUAGCUUCAGAACCCGCUCUGACCU